CUUGAAUAGGGAUUCUUCUUGCUGUCGUAAUAUGAUGAAUGGUAAUACUUGAGAAGCCAUAAAGAAUAAUAGAGCAAGAAAAAAUGAAAGCCCCCCCAACCACUGACAAGUCAUGAGAAAAGGAUGUAGAAAAGAAGGUAGAGAAAGACAGGAAGAGCUGUGGAGGAUAAGUUCUGCAAAAGGAUCUGCUGUUUCUGACCACUGUUCCCAUCUGAGUGCAUUCAGUGCUGUGUAG
rnacentral:lncRNA from 14 species